rnacentral:tRNA from 1 species
UGCGCAACGGUUGAGCGAUGGAGGAGAGCAAAGCUACCUUGAGGUUGGUAGCUGAUGAAAGCCUUUAGGUGGAA